UGACCCUACGGGAGGCAGCAGUGGGGAAUAUUGCACAAUGGGGGAAACCCUGAUGCAGCGACGCCGCGUGAAGGAAGAAGUAUUUCGGUAUGUAAACUUCUAUCAGCAGGGAAGAAAAUGACGGUACCUGACUAAGAAGCCCCGGCUAACUACGUGCCAGCAGCCGCGGUAAUACGUAGGGGGCAAGCGUUAUCCGGAUUUACUGGGUGUAAAGGGAGCGUAGACGGCAAUGCAAGCCAGAUGUGAAAGCCCGGGGCUCAACCCCGGGACUGCAUUUGGAACUGUGUAGCUGGAGUGUAGGAGAG
rnacentral:rRNA from 1 species